GCCAGUGAUAAUGAACUUGACUGCGAUACACAGACAGAGCUGAAAGCAAAUAAUGCAUAAAUUUGGAUAUGCUUCCGGAAUCUAGACUCCUCCAGCAUUUUGUGUGUGUCGCUGAUGGAAUGGCCUAACUGUUCUAUCACUGUCUGGACAAUUAACCUACUGACCGGCAUGACUUUGGACAGCGGGAGGAAAUGGGAGCAGCUGGAGGAAACCUUCAUGCACAUGAAAGGACAUACAAACUUGCUUAGAGAGGACAGUAGAAAUGAUCUCCGUAACGUCCCAAAUGUUGUACUGACUGCUGUACCGCGACGCCCUAAUGGAGGUAACUGGUGACCUCAAAUACAGAUCCCAAGGGGGAUGCAGUACUUGAUAGGCUGAAUGGCCUAAUUCUGCUUCUGUGCCUUAUGAGCUUCUCUGGGUAGAGAUCGAGGAGAGAUUUACACAUUCAAGAUUCAGAACGGGGAACAACUGUGAUGGGAGAGGCAGGCAGGAGUCACUUUCAUAAGAGAAAAGAACAGAUUAGGCCGCUGGGACCAUCAAGACUGCUCUGCGAUUCUAAAUCAUAGCAGAGUUAUUAGCCCACUCAACUCCGUUCUCCCUGUGACCGCUGACCCCUGACACCCGGAUUAACCUGGAAUCCAUCAACUUCUGCUUUAACUGCACCCAAUGACAUGGCCUGCACAGCCUAUCUGUGGCAAAGAAUCCCACAGACUCACCUCCAUCUGGCUAAAGAGUUUCCUUCUCAUAACUACCCCAAAGUACAUCCUCUGCACCCCCCAGUCCUAGACUCCCCCACUACAGGAAACAUCCUCUGCACAUCCACUCUCUCUGUGUCCUCUGGUCCCAGACUCCCCCACUAUAGGAAACAUCCUCUCCACAUCCACUCUCUCUGUGUCCUCUGGUCCUAGACUCCCCACUAUAGGAAACAUCCUCUCCACAUCCACUCUCUCUGUGUCCUCUGGUCCCAGACUCCCCCACUACAGGAAACAUCCUCUGCACAUCCACUCUAUCUGUGUCCUCUGGUCCUAGACUCCCCCACUAUACGAAAAAUCCUCUCCACAUCCACUCUAUCUGAGCCCUCUGGUCCCGGUCUCCCCCACUUUAGGAAACAUCCUCUCCACAUCCACUCUAUCUGUGUCCUCUGGUCCUAGACUCGCCCACUAUAGGAAACAUCCUCUCCACAUCCACUCUAUCUAAGCCCUCUGGUCCCGGUCUCCCCCACUAUAGGAAACAUCCUCUCCACAUCCACUCUCUCUGUGUCCUCUGGUCCUAGACUCGCCCACUAUAGGA